UGGGGAAUAUUGGACAAUGGGCGCAAGCCUGAUCCAGCAAUGCCGCGUGGGUGAAGAAGGUCUUCGGAUCGUAAAGCCCUUUCGGCGGGGACGAUGAUGACGGUACCCGCAGAAGAAGCCCCGGCUAACUUCGUGCCAGCAGCCGCGGUAAUACGAAGGGGGCUAGCGUUACUCGGAAUUACUGGGCGUAAAGGGCGCGUAGGCGGCGCUCCAAGUUAGGCGUGAAAGCCCUGGGCUCAACCUGGGGACUGCGCUUAAGACUGGAGUGCUAGAGGAUGGAAGAGGGUUGUGGAAUUCCCAGUGUAGAGGUGAAAUUCGUAGAUAUUGGGAAGAACACCGGUGGCGAAGGCGGCAACCUGGUCCAUUUCUGACGCUGAGGCGCGAUAGCGUGGGGAGCAAACA
rnacentral:rRNA from 1 species